rnacentral:rRNA from 1 species
UACGUAGGUGGCGAGCGUUGUCCGGAUUUACUGGGCGUAGAGAGCGCGCAGGCGGUCGUGCAAGUCGCGUGUGAAAGCCCCCGGCUCAACUGGGGAGGGUCACGCGAUACUGAUCGACUCGAAGGCAGGAGAGGGUAGUGGAAUUCCCGGUGUAGUGGUGAAAUGCGUAGAUAUCGGGAGGAACACCAGUGGCGAAGGCGACUACCUGGCCUGUUCUUGACGCUGAGGCGCGAAAGCUAGGGGAGCAAACGGG